CCCUUUAUUUUCUUAUUCCUCUGUUCUCUUCUUAGGUGCUAUUAUUACAGAGGGAGCGCAGCCCACCCUGAGUUAGUAGUCCCUCAGCCUCCUCUACCCGAGGCAGCCUGAAGGCUUGGGGGCUGGAGCAAGACCUCUCGGAACCCUCAGUUGCUAUGGUAAUAACAGCCAUAGUAAAAAAUCACUUACUAUGGGCCAGGUACCCUUUGUUCUGAGAA
rnacentral:lncRNA from 1 species